rnacentral:rRNA from 1 species
UCCGUAGGUGAACCUGCGGAAAGAUCAUU